rnacentral:rRNA from 1 species
CCUACGGGAGGCAGCAGUGAGGAAUAUUGGGCAAUGGACGAGAGUCGGAACCAGCCAAGUAGCGUGAAGGAUGACUGCCCUAUGGGUUGUAAACUUCUUUUAUAUGGGAAUAAAAUGUUCCACGUGUGGGAUUUUGUAUGUACCAUAUGAAUAAGGAUCGGCUAACUCCGUGCCAGCAGCCGCGGUAAUACGGAGGAUCCGAGCGUUAUCCGGAUUUAUUGGGUUUAAAGGGAGCGUAGGUGGGUUGUUAAGUCAGUUGUGAAAGUUUGCGGCUCAACCGUAAAAUUGCAGUUGAUACUGGCAGUCUGGAGUACAGUAGAGGUGGGCGGAAUUCGUGGUGUAGCGGUGAAAUGCUUAGAUAUCACGAAGAACUCCGAUUGCGAAGGCAGUUCACUGGACUGCAACUGACACUGAGGCUCGAAAGUGUGGGUAUCAAACAGGAUUAGAUACCCGAGUAGUC